CAGAGCGGACGUCACAAAAAGAUUAAAGAGAACUGCUUCCCUCUCUCUGCUUGCCUCUGCUUUGACUUCCUUCAUUCACCAGGACUCAUUCUCAAAAUGGAACAACAGUGUUUGAUAACCCUGAAGCUAAGGAAGCUGCUCCAAUGUUAAGAGAUCAGGGAGGUAAGAAAAAUCAGCAAAGGGACUGAAAAAGGGCAAAGGCAGGAAGACAAGACAACCAGGGAAAUGGGAGAAAGGUCAUCAGCUGAGAAUAAGGAUGGAGACAGAGCUGGAGAGUGUGGAAGUGUUCCCUGCCUCAAAAACCUAAAAGACUAAUGAGAUGGUGGAAAAGAGACCUGUGAGAUGAGACACAGAAGAUCCAACAGCCACGAGCUUGAAAAGUCAUCCACAGAGGGGGAUUCACCAGAAGAUUAGGUGAAGAAGGUGCCUGGGGAGGACUGUUCUUCAGAGAUUACAGCUGUUAAGCCUCACCCCCACCAUCUGGCAGUACAGAACGCUGGAAUAGUAUUCUAAAAUAUGGUUGCACGAACUCCUCCACAGUUAUCUCCAACCACUGUCUGGUCUGGCUGCCCCCUACUGUUUAUACUCUGAACACUCCUUAUGCCACAUAAAGGUCCCUACACUUUGGUGAAGUUCCCUGACAUCUUGAAGUUGAAGAGCAGAGAUGAAGAAUCUACUUGGCAUCCUGGGGACCCAACAUUCCUCUCCUUUUUUGGUACCUUUCAACUGGUGUCUGGGAGGCUCCUGCUGUUCAUAUUACGGGUGAAUGGAUGGACACAAAUGCCGAUAUUCUCUUGUUUUCCAGAUGACACUUGCAAGUAACACCUUGCAGGAGGGGCAAUUUGAAUUCUCUCUUUAUUCCAACAGUUCUAAAUUUUUGUUGUGCACUCACCCUAUAGCAGGAGAUUUUGCUGCAGUCCUUAUACCCAUACAGUGUACUCUGUCUGGAGGACAUCUUUGGUGGGAAAAUGGCACCUCCUGAUUUCAUGUGGAACUUACUGUUUCAGAAAAAAAGGACAGACUGUAUGGAUCGCCCCUGAAGAUAAUGACGGACUUGGCAUGGGGAUAAGCAUGCCUACCUCAGAGGGUGAGAGGGUGGAUGUAGUGUGAAUAACUUUCUUGUUGCCUUUCUUACAGAUAUUAACAAAUUGUACUGAAUAGUCCUCUUCAGUGAUCCCACACAAUGACACUUAUUUCAAAGCUAUCAGGAUGCUGUAUUUGUCAUCCUCAUCCUACUUAAUUAUGGAGGACCUUGUGGGCAUUCCACUCACAGACAAUGCCACAGGAAUUACUCAUUACUCCAGACUCCUCAUUUACUUGGG